AACAGAAUAGGGCAGAGGCUGGCCAUGACACAUGAGGGAGUAAAAUGUAGAAGCCUAAUCUCUAUCAAUCUCAGGCCUGCUAUCAGCAUAAAAUAAUAAGCACUUAAUCCAGCACAGUGAAAGAACAAUUAAUCCAGCCGUGCCGUGAUUUGGGUCUCUCUAACACCACAACAGUCUCAGAAGCAUGGAGUACAAACUUGCAAGUGACAGUGUUGACUAGUACUCGUGCUCGCUGGAAAAACCCCCAGUCCUCUGUUCAGUUGCUUCAUAUCAGUACACAGAUGGGCGCCCUGAGGGAGUAUCUGUUGAGUACACUCUAUUUACAGAGCGGGCUCCUGGUAAUAGCCGAAGCUGCAUUAACCCCUUCGGUGCCGUCUGCUUGUGCAUGUGCGCAUAAUUGCCUCUCGCAACAAUUACGGUCUGGAGCAGCUGCGGCUGCGGGGGUGGAGCUGGCGGAAGCCAUAAUGCGGCGGCGCUUCUUCCCCUCCCUCAUCACCACGGAGGCGUGGGAGGGCUUCACCUUCGCCGACCUCGAGAUCCGCAUCAAGGAGUCCACCGACUGCUACGGAGCCAUGCUGUGGCCCUCGGCUCUGGUGCUCUGUCACUUCCUGGACACAAACCAAGAUGAAUACAACUUAACUGACAAGAAUGUCAUUGAGCUGGGUGCCGGAACUGGACUUGUAACCACUGUGGCCAGCCUGCUGGGGGCAAAGGUCACUUCCACUGACCUCCCAGAUGUACUGGGGAACCUUCAGUACAACGUCAGCCGUAACACUAGGGGGCGCUGCAAGCACACGCCGCAGGUGACUAAGCUCAUCUGGGGACAGGACCUGGAGGAGCGGUUCCCCCGCGCUUCCUGUCACUUUGACUACAUCCUGGCGGCGGAUGUGGUGUAUGCGCACCCUUAUCUCAACGAGCUGAUGGACACGUUCGAGCACCUGUGCCAGGACCAGACGGUGAUUCUGUGGGCAAUGCGAUUUCGCCUGGAUCCCGAGAACAGCUUUGUGGAGCGCUUCCAGCAACACUUCCACUUGGAGCUCAUCUAUGACUUGCCCAGCCUCAGCAUAAAGCUGUAUCGAGCCAACAGGAAGGGGAGGAGCUUUAAGACCAGCUCAGGUGCUGCUGCCUGAAUCAUGCCCAGGAAGAAGAGAAACCACAGCAUCGUAGCCUUUUAUCUAAAGGUUCACAAGCUGGGCUCGCACAGACAGGAGUCAGAGGAAGACCCUUCAUAUGCGGCUCAACAGGCAGGCUUCCAAUCAACCAGCAGGAGCCACUAGCGAGCAAUGAGUCACUGUAUUCCUGGCUGACAGAAACCCUCCUACCCCGGACAACACAGGAGUCAACUGUACAGCACCCUCUCAUGGGGCUGCCUGUACUGGUUCGGAUUCGGUUCCGGAUUCAGACUGUGGGGCCAAUCCGCACGCCAUAACGGUCCCAUAACAGCACGAGCCAUCCAGCAAAUCCUUACACAAGUUUACAGGUCACUGGCCACACUGUGUGUGUGUGUGUGUGUGUGUGCGUGUGUGUGUGCGUGUUGGUGAUGCAUGUGCAUAUACUGAAUCUGUUUAAUCUCAAGAAAAAUGUACUAUAUUGUAUAUUUUUAAACUUGGAAUGAAUAGA